CCCACUUCGUAUAAACGCGAGAAGCCAACCGCUCGUGGCCUGAGGUUUCCCUGCCGCGCUCGGCCGCUGGCCGCUGCCCCGCCAUCUCGCCUAGCGCGGGUCACCCUGGAGCCGCCGUCCCUGCGUUCCCUGACUCCACGACGCUACUUUCCCUCUCAGAGCUCGCAAGUCCGCCGCCAAAUCGAGACCCUGCGUGGCCCGCCACCACCGCAGAGCUGCCGGCCGAUUCGGCCCGGGGGACCUCGUCGUAGGUACUGGAGAGGCUUCGCGCGGCUCCCAGAAUCUCCCUACCUUCCUUCACCGCCUCGCUCAUGCCCCCUCGCCUCCUAGCGCGCGGGAGGACCUGACAACCUGCAGCCGCCACCACGACCUCAGCUUGCUCCGAUGAGCUCACGUGCACCGUCCGGCGAGCUCGCGCGCGCCGUACGACGAGCUCGCACGCGCCCUGCAGGCAUCAGCGUCGACCAACAAGCUCGCAAGAUGAAUUCGUAUGAUAUGGAUUCAUCGUCCGAGUAGGAGCAUGAGUGGGAUGAAGAUGAGGAGCUCGUCAUGCUUAUGACAAUGGACAUGGAGAGCAACAAUAAGCCGAAACAUGGGGGUUUUGUUGUUGGGCGAGAGAGGCAAGAAGCCCACCACCGGCUUAUGUUGGAUUACUUUGGAGUGCCGGGUCACCCUCGUGUGUCUCCCGAAUGUUACUUUCGUCGGCGGUUUAGGAUGGGCAUGGAUUUAUUCAUCCAUAUUUCCAAUGUGAUCAAAAAGAAAGAUACCUUCUUCGAGCAAAAAAGGAAUGGCACGGGCUUGUGAUACAUCGCAAUCGCAUCUAUAAUUUUUGAUGCUCCAAGCUUGUGAUACCAAUUCCUAUAUGUUUUGUUCACACUUCGUUGCACUUUUCUACAUUUUCCGGCACUAACCUAUUAACAAGAUGCCACAGUGCCAAUUCCCUA